GUUGAUGAAAAACGUAGGAAUGUUUAUUCAGAGGGGACGGCAAGUCCCUUUUAAAGCAGGAUUACAUCAUAUGCAUUGUCAGAGAUAACAUAAAAUAAUACAUCAUUAAUUGGUUAGGUGCUAAGUGGUUCUUCUAAUGCUCUGCCCACAGGAGUUGAUGUCACUGGUAUCAUGAGGGUCUCCCCCAGAUUCCAGCGCCAUCUUGUUACACGAGGUAGUUAGUCAAUGUUAG